UGGGUACCUCUGGAGGCCCUCUAAACGUCUCAUAACAAUAUUCUGGAGCACCAGUGACUCUGACAGUCAAGGUCCCUUGGAAGUCACUGAGAAAAUGAUGAAUAGAAAGAAAAGUGAAGGAAUUGUAAGACUGAAAAGAGAGAUGGGCCAAUGAACUUCUGAGUCACUUGAACAAAAUCAAAUACUAACUAUGAAAAUUAACCAUUAGUCAAACUAAUUGAUUUAUAAGAUGAAUAGUCCUCUCACAAUCAAAAUAAUGAUAUUAAAUGGCAGAAUAACUGCAUUUGAGGCUAUUGAAAGGGAAGAAACCUCUGCAGUGACUAAAGUUAAUGGCCUGCUGUGCUCUAAUGUGAACUUUUCCCAUUCAGAAUAUAUACAUAUUUUUUCCUUC